UUUUUUUUUCUUUUUCUUUUUUUUUCCCCUGAGUGACAAAGCACAUUCUCACCAUGCCUUCUUUAUUUCCUGUCUUGAGAAGAAAAAUUUGCUUGCAUCUCUGUCCCUGAGCGAUAACAGUGGUAGAAGUUUAAGGGAAUAAUCUCUCUGUAUGUCAACUAUGUAUACAUUUAAAGUGUCUGUAUUUUAUCAUCUCAAUUGAUUCUCACAAGAGGCAGAUGGAACGAUUUUCUAUAGGUAGAGGCUGAGAAAAGUUCAAUGACUUUAUCAUGGCCUCAAAGAAAAUUAACGGCAGAGUUCAAAUUAGAACGUUUACUUUUUAUUUUAUUUUAUUUUUUGUCUUUUCUAGGGCCGCAGUCACGGCAUAUGGAGAUUCCCAGGCUAGGGGUCGAAUCGGAGCUGUAGCCGCCGGUCUACGCCAGAGCCACAGCAGCGCAGGAUCCAAGCCGAGUCUGCAACCUACACCGCAGCUCGCGGCAACGCCGAUCCCUUACCCACUGAGCAAGGCUAGGGACCGAACCCACAACCUCAUGGUUCCUAGUCGGAUUCAUUAACCACUGCGCCAAGAGGGGAAUUCCUAGAACUUUUACUUUUUGAUUCUAACCAUGCAGAGCCAUCCAGGAGAAAAAUUCACAAUAUAUUGCUUUGUCUUUGGCUUUCCUUAGUAGUACAGCUAGAAAGGUACUUAAUAUUUCUGAGCCUAGAGCAUAAUAGCAUAAUAACUUAAUAAGCAGUGGUUUUAUUUAUUUUAUUUUGUCUUUUUAGGGCUACACCCACAGCACAUGGAGGUUCCCAGGCUAGGGGUCCAAUUGGAGCUGUAGCCGCCGGCCUACACCACAGCCACAGCAACGCCAGAUCCAAGCCACGCCUGUGACCUACACCACAGCUCCUGGCCAUGCCGGAUCCUUAACCCACUGAACGAGGCCAGGGACUGAACCCAUGACCUCACGGAUACUAGUCAGGUUUGUUAACUGCUGAGCCAUGAUGGGAACGCCUGUGUGUUUUUUGUUUGUUUGUUUUGUAACACCAUUUUUAUGGUAGGGAGAGUGGGCUCCAUUGUACGUCAGGACUGUUUGAGCCAUAUCUCCCCUGGAGCUAUUUUUUCAGAUGGCUGCUGUUUGUUCUGUGGCAGCUAAAGAUCAUUCCUUUGGCAAAAAUGGGACUGUAACAGGCUGCCUGUGCCAGACACUCGCUCUCUCCAGAGACAGGCUGAGUAUUUACCGAAAGAAAAAAAAAAAAAUCCCAUGAGAAUGAUUUUUCUGUUUUUGAAUUUUAUACAAAUGGGCUUAUGUCUGCGAGAUUUAUUUUAAUAUUCUACAGAUAGAGUUGUUCUGUUCCCAAAGGAAACAGCGCACUAUAAGUUUGGCACUUUCCCGAAGAAAACUGAAUGCUCAGUGAAGAGAACAUUGGGCCUGGAGGACACAGGCUAAAGUGUACCAUGGGUUAGCUGUGUUACCUAAAGCAAUGGAUUUUGAAGGCUGGGCGGACACCCUCUUUCUUCUGCAGUUCACCCUCUCUUGUGUGAUGGG
rnacentral:lncRNA from 1 species